CACUGUUUCGCCGAUUCCUUCUCCCACUUCCCCAGAUCCACCGCACUGCCCCUCUCCCUUCUUCUCCUCUUCAUCACCGUCAACCACCGACAACGAGAUGUCGAUUACCGCCGGCCCCUUUCCGGUCACCCUUGCCUCCCCUUUGUCGAAGAUUUCGAUGCAGGAAGCUCGAAGUGGACUCCCUCUCGUGCCCUAGUCUCGAGUCACAACCACCUCUUCAUCGUCGGCCCUCUCCGGCCAUGAGCAAGAAGGUGUCGGAGAACAUUGAUGACAUCCGCGUCUAUUUCCCGAGGCCUUCACAGCGAAUAAUCGGCUGCCACAGCAUCCUCUACUCGGUAUCGCCAUUGCCAAAAGGGCUGAGAAGACGCCGGAGAUCUGUGUUUGUCUCUUUCCCCACACUUGCAUCCCCAUGCAGCAACUGCUGCUGCCAUAAGCGAAGUCAUCGCUGCAUGUUCUUCCUCCCAAAGUCGAUCCUUCUCUGCUUCGGCAGCCGCAGCCACCACAGCCAGCCACAACUGUGGCCAGCUUCGCGACCACUGGCAACCCUCAUUUGAUCUCAUCACCAGUCACCUGCCAUGAGGAAUCCACCACUGUCGAAGGAGGAGCUAACAGACAGGGGUUUAUGAGGCAAAAUCUAUGUCGGAGGAGAAUGAAAAGAAGAUUAGAUUGAGAAGAAAUUUGUUAGUUUAAGGUUUUUUUGUAGUUUUUUGUGAACUUAACUUGUUGGAUGUAUAUUUUGUCAUGACUUGUAUGGAUUUUUAUGAUACUUUGUUGUAUGGUACAAUAAAUUUUGUUGUAUGGAA